rnacentral:rRNA from 1 species
CACGUAGGGUGCGAGCGUUGUCCGGAAUUAUUGGGCGUAAAGAGCUCGUAGGCGGUGUGUCGCGUCGGCCGUGAAAACUUGGGGCUUAACUCUGAGCGUGCGGUCGAUACGGGCAUCACUUGAGUUCGGCAGGGGAGACUGGAAUUCCUGGUGUAGCGGUGAAAUGCGCAGAUAUCGGGAGGAACACCCGUAGCGAAGGCGGCACUCUGGGCCGGUACUGACGCUGAGGAGCGAAAGCGUGGGGAGCAAACAGG